CCUACGGGAGGCAGCAGUAGGGAAUAUUGCUCAAUGGGGGAAACUCUGAAGCAGCAACGCCGCGUGGAGGAUGAAGGCUCUCGGAUUGUAAACUCCCUUUGUUAGAGAAGAUAAUGACGGUAUCUAACGAAUAAGCACUGGCUAACUCCGUGCCAGCAGCCGCGGUAAUACGGAGGGUGCAAGCGUUACUCGGAAUCACUGGGCGUAAAGAGCGCGUAGGCGGGAUAGCAAGUCAGAUGUGAAAUCCUAUGGCUUAACCAUAGAAUUGCAUUUGAAACUGUUAGUCUAGAGUAUGGGAGAGGUAGGUGGAAUUCGUGGUGUAGGGGUAAAAUCCGUAGAGAUCAAGAAGAAUACUCAUUGCGAAGGCAACCUGCUAGAACAUAACUGACGCUGAUGCGCGAAAGCGUGGGGAGCAAACAGGAUUAGAUACCCUUGUAGUC
rnacentral:rRNA from 1 species